rnacentral:rRNA from 1 species
AAUGUUGGACAAUGGGGGCAACCCUGAUCCAGCCAUCCCGCGUGUGCGAUGAAGGCCUUCGGGUUGUAAAGCACUUUUGGCAGGGAAGAAAAGGCUCUGGCUAAUACCUGGAGCUGCUGACGGGACCUGCAGAAUAAGCACCGGCUAACUACGUUCCAGCAGCCGCGGUAAUACGUAGGUUGCAAGCGUUAGUCGGAAUUACUGGGCGUAAAGCGUGCGCAGGCGGUUCGGCAAGAAGGAUGUGAAAUCCCAGGGCUUAACCUUGGAACUGCAUUCUUAACUGCCGGGCUAGAGUAUGUCAGAGGGGGGUAGAAUUCCGCGUGUAGCAGUGAAAUGCGUAGAGAUGCGGAAGAAUACCGAUGGCGAAGGCAGCCCCCUGGGAUAAUACUGACGCUCACGCACGAAAGCGUGGGGAGCAAACA